rnacentral:rRNA from 1 species
GAUGAACGCUAGCAGUAUGCCUUAUACAUGCAUGUCGAACGAAGUGCUUUUAUGCACUUAGUGGCAAAUGGGUGAGUAACACGUACUUAACCUACCUUUUUAGAUUGGAAUAACCAUGAGAAAUCGUGGAUAAUACCGAAUAUGAUUUAUUUUCGCAUGAAAUUAUUUUGAAAGAAGCGUUUUGACUUUCGCUAAAAAGAUGGGGGGACGCGACAUUAGUUUGUUGGUAGGUAAAGCCUACCAAGACUAUGAUGUCUAGCCGAGCUGAGAGGCUGACCGCCACCAUUGGGACUGAGAUACGGCCCAGACCGCUACGGUGGGCAGCAGUAGGGAAUUUUU